rnacentral:rRNA from 1 species
AACGAACGCUGGCGGCAUGCCUAACACAUGCAAGUCGAACGAGACCUUCGGGUCUAGUGGCGCACGGGUGCGUAACGCGUGGGAACCUGCCCUUAGGUUCGGAAUAACUCCCCGAAAGGGGUGCUAAUACCGGAUAAUGUCUUCGGACCAAAGAUUUAUCGCCUUUGGAUGGGCCCGCGUUGGAUUAGCUAGUUGGUAGGGUAAAAGCCUACCAAGGCGACGAUCCAUAACUGGUCUGAGAGGAUGAUCAGCCACACUGGGACUGAGACACGGCCCAGACUCCUACGGGAGGCAGCAGUGGGGAAUAUUGGACAAUGGGCGAAAGCCUGAUCCAGCAAUGCCGCGUGAGUGAUGAAGGCCUUAGGGUUGUAAAGCUCUUUUACCUGGGAUGAUAAUGACAGUACCGGGAGAAUAAGCUCCGGCUAACUCCGUG